rnacentral:rRNA from 1 species
AGCGAACGUUAGCGGCGGGCUUAACACAUGCAAGUCGAACGCGAAAGGGAUUCGUCCCGGUAGCGUGCGUCCGGGUGAGUAACACGUUAGGAAACCUACCCCUCGAGCGGGGGGAUAACGUUCCGAAAGGAACGCUAAUACCGCAUAAGACCACGAUGGCUCCGGCCGUUGGGGUCAAAGAUGGCCUCUGUACACAAGCUAUCACUCGAGGAUGGUCCUGCGGCGCAUCAGCUAGUUGGUGGGGUAACGGCCUACCAAGGCGAAGACGCGUAGCUGGUCUGAGAGGAUGAUCAGCCACACUGGCACUGAAACACGGGCCAGACUCCUACGGGAGGCAGCAGUGGGAAUAUUGGUCAAUGGCGCAAGCCUGAACCAGCCACGCCGCGUGAGUGAUGAAGGCCUUCGGGUUGUAAAGCUCUGUGGGGAGGGAAGAAAACGGCCAGUAAGAAACGACUGGUCCUUGACGGUACCUCCUUAGCAAGCACCGGCUAACUCUGUGCCAGCAGCCGCGGUAA